GAUGAAGAACGUAGCGAAAUGCGAUAAGUAAUGUGAAUUGCAAAAUUCAGUGAAUCAUCGAAUCUUUGAACGCACAUUGCGCCCCUUGGUAUUCCGAGGGGCAUGCCUAUUCGAGCGUCAUUAUCACCCCUCAAGCCUAGCUUGGUGUUGAGACCUGCUGUCAAGGCAGUCUCUAAAAUCAGUGGCAGUGCUGUCAGGCUCUAAGCGUAGUAAAUUCGUCGCUAUAGGGUCCUGGUGGAUACUCGUCAAAACCCCCCCAUUUUUUAAUGAUUGACCUCGGAUUAGGUAGGGAUACCCGCUGAACUUAAGCAUAUCAAUAAGCGGAGGA
rnacentral:misc_RNA from 1 species